GACGAACGCUGGCGGCGUGCCUAAUACAUGCAAGUCGAACGAGAGCAACCGGUGCUUGCACUGGUCAAUCUAGUGGCGAACGGGUGAGUAACACGUGGGUAACCUGCCCAUCAGAGGGGGAUAACAUCCGGAAACGGAUGCUAAAACCGCAUAGGUCUUCGAACCGCAUGGUUUGAAGAGGAAAAGAGGCGCAAGCUUCUGCUGAUGGAUGGACCCGCGGUGCAUUAGCUAGUUGGUGAGGUAACGGCUCACCAAGGCCGUGAUGCAUAGCCGACCUGAGAGGGUGAUCGGCCACAUUGGGACUGAGCCACGGCCCAAACUCCUACGGGAGGCAGCAGUAGGGAAUCUUCCGCAAUGGACGCAAGUCUGACGGAGCAACGCCGCGUGAGUGAAGAAGGUUUUCGGAUCGUAAAACUCUGUUGUUAGAGAAGAACAAGUGCUAGAGUAACUGUUAGCGCCUUGACGGUAUCUAACCAGAAAGCCACGGCUAACUACGUG
rnacentral:rRNA from 1 species